rnacentral:rRNA from 1 species
UGGCGGACGGGUGAGUAACGCGUGGGUAACCUGCCUCACACUGGGGGAUAACAGUUAGAAAUAGCUGCUAAUACCGCAUAAGCGCACGGUUCCGCAUGGAACAGUGUGAAAAACUCCGGUGGUGUGAGAUGGACCCGCGUCUGAUUAGCCAGUUGGCGGGGUAACGGCCCACCAAAGCGACGAUCAGUGCCGCCUGAGAGGGUGACGGCCACAUUGGGACUGAGACACGGCCCAA